rnacentral:rRNA from 1 species
GAGCUGGGUUCAGUACGUCGUGAGACAGUACGGUCUCUAUCUACCGUGGGCGCAGGAAAUUUGAGGGGGCUCGUUCUUAGUACGAGAGGACCGGAAUGAACAUACCUCUGGUGUUUCUGUUGUUCUGCCAAGAGCAUUGCAGAGUAGCCAAGUAUGGUUAAGAUAAACACUGAAAGCAUAUAAGUGUGAAACUUGCCCCAAGAUAAGAUUUCCCCGAAGACCACCCGUAGACUACGGGUUUGAUAGGCAAGAAGUGUAAGUACAGUAAUGUAUUCAGCUAACUUGUACUAAUCGGUCGUUUGGCUUGGUCAC